CUACGGGGGGCUGCAGUGAGGAAUUUUGCGCAAUGGGGGAAACCCUGACGCAGCAACGCCGCGUGAGUGAUGAAGGCCUUCGGGUCGUAAAACUCUGUCAAGUGGGAAGAACCUAUGUAAGGUUAAUACCCUUAUGUACUGACGGUACCACUGGAGGAAGCACCGGCUAACUCGCGUGCCAGCAGCCGCGGUAAUACGGAGGGUGCAAGCGUUAUUCGGAAUUAUUGGGCGUAAAGGGCGCGCAGGCGGUUUUGUAAGUCAGAUGUGAAAGCCCGGGGCUUAACCUCGGAAGUGCAUUUGAUACUGCAAGACUUGAGUAUGGGAGGGGGAAGUGGAAUUCCUGGUGUAGAGGUGAAAUUCGUAGAUAUCAGGAGGAACACCAGUGGCGAAGGCGACUUCCUGGACCAAUACUGACGCUGAGGCGCGAAGGCGUGGGGAGCAAACAGGAUUAGAUACCCUCGUAGUC
rnacentral:rRNA from 1 species